UGGGGAAUCUUGCACAAUGGGCGAAAGCCUGAUGCAGCAACGCCGCGUGCGGGAAGACAGCCCUAGGGUUGUAAACCGCUUUCAGCAGGGAAGAAACUGACGGUACCUGCAGAAGAAGAUGCGGCCAACUACGUGCCAGCAGCCGCGGUGACACGUAGGCAUCAAGCGUUAUCCGGAUUUAUUGGGCGUAAAGAGCUCGUAGGCGGUUCGGUAAGUCGGGUGUGAAAACUCUGGGCUCAACCCAGAGAGGCCACUCGAUACUGCUGUGACUAGAGUGCGGUAGGGGUAGCGGGGUAAUUCCUGGUGUAGCGGUGAAAUGCGCAGAUAUCAGGAGGAACACCAGUGGCGAAGGCGCCGCUCUGGGCCGUAACUGACGCUGAGGAGCG
rnacentral:rRNA from 1 species